GAUGAACGCUGGCGGCGUGCCUAAUACAUGCCAGUCGAGCGAACAGACGAGGAGCUUGCUCCUCUGACGUUAGCGGCGGACGGGUGAGUAACACGUGGAUAACCUACCUAUAAGACUGGGAUAACUUCGGGAAACCGGAGCUAAUACCGGAUAAUAUAUUGAACCGCAUGGUUCAAUAGUGAAAGACGGUUUUGCUGUCACUUAUAGAUGGAUCCGCGCCGAAUUAGCUAGUUGGUAAGGUAACGGCUUACCAAGGCAACGAUGCGUAGCCGACCUGAGAGGGUGAUCGGCCACACUGGAACUGAGACACGGUCCAGACUCCUGCGGAAGGCAGCAGUAGGGAAUCUUCCGCAAUGGGCGAAAGCCUGACGGUGCAACGCCGCGUGAGUGAUGAAGGUCUUCGGAUCGGAGAACUCUGUUAUUAGGGAAGAACAAAUGUGUAAGUACCUAUGCACGUCUUGACGGUACCUAAUCAGAAAGCCACGGCUAACUACGUG
rnacentral:rRNA from 1 species